GAUGAACGCUGGCGGCGUGCUUAAUACAUGCAAGUCGAGCGAACAGAUGAGGAGCUUGCUCCUCUGACGUUAGCGGCGGACGGGUGAGUAACACGUGGAUAACCUACCUAUCAGACUGGGAUAACUUCGGGAAACCGGAGCUAAUACCGGAUAAUAUAUUGAACCGCAUGGUUCAAUAGUGAAAGACGGUUUUGCUGUCACUUAUAGAUGGAUCCGCGCCGCAUUAGCUAGUUGGUACGGUAACGGCUUACCAAGGCAACGAUGCGUAGCCGACCUGAGAGAGUGAUCGCCCACACUAGAACUGAGACAGCGUCCAGACUCCUGAGGGACGCCGCAGUACGGAAUCUUCCGCAAUGGGCGAAAACCUGACGGAGCGACGCCACGUGAGUGAUAAAGGUCUUCGGAUCGUAAAACUCUGGUAUGAGGGAAAAACAAAUGUGUAAGUAACUAUGCACGUCUUGACGGUACCUAAGCAGAAAGCCACGGCUAACUACGUG
rnacentral:rRNA from 1 species